UAUUGGGCAAUGCCCGCAAGGGUGACCCAGCAACGCCGCGUGGAGGAUGAAUGUCGUAAGAUUGUAAACUCCUGUUAGAGGGGAAGAAUAGUACCGGUUGGACCGGUAUAUGACUGUACCCUCAGAGAAAGCCCCGGCUAACUACGUGCCAGCAGCCGCGGUAAUACGUAGGGGGCAAGCGUUGUCCGGAUUUACUGGGUGUAAAGGGCGCGCAGGCGGGAUAAAAAGUCAGUGGUGACAUCCUACAGCUUAACUGUAGAACUGCCUUUGAUACUUUUAUUCUUGAGUUCGGGAGAGAGAGACGGAAUUCCAGGUGUAGUGGUGAAAUACGUAGAUAUCUGGAAGAACACCAGUUGCGAAGGCGGUCUCUUGGUCCGACACUGACGCUGAGGCGCGAAAGCGUGGGGAGCAAACA
rnacentral:rRNA from 1 species